CAUGGUUGUCGUCAGCUCGUGUCGUGAGAUGUUGGGUUAAGUCCCGCAACGAGCGCAACCCCUACGUUAGUUGCUAACGCGUGAAGGCGAGCACUCUAGACGAACUGCCGUUGACAAAACGGAGGAAGGUGGGGAUGACGUCAAAUCAUCAUGCCCCUUAUGUUCUGGGCUACACACGUGCUACAAUGGCCGGUACAGACGGACGCAAAGCCGCGAGGUGGAGCAAAUCCUAAAAAGCCGGUCUCAGUUCGGAUUGCAGGCUGCAAUUCGCCUACAUGAAGUCGGAAUCGCUAGUAAUCGCAGGUCAGCAUACUGCGGUGAAUACGUUCCCGGGCCUU
rnacentral:rRNA from 1 species